rnacentral:rRNA from 1 species
CCUACGGGAGGCAGCAGUAGGGAAUCUUCCACAAUGGGCGAAAGCCUGAUGGAGCAACGCCGCGUGAGCGAUGAAGGCCUUCGGGUCGUAAAGCUCUGUUGUUAGGGAAGAACAAGUAUCGGAGUAACUGCCGGUACCUUGACGGUACCUGACCAGAAAGCCACGGCUAACUACGUGCCAGCAGCCGCGGUAAUACGUAGGUGGCAAGCGUUGUCCGGAAUUAUUGGGCGUAAAGCGCGCGCAGGCGGUUCCUUAAGUCUGAUGUGAAAGCCCCCGGCUCAACCGGGGAGGGUCAUUGGAAACUGGGGAACUUGAGUGCAGAAGAGGAGAGCGGAAUUCCACGUGUAGCGGUGAAAUGCGUAGAGAUGUGGAGGAACACCAGUGGCGAAGGCGGCUUUCUGGUCUGUAACUGACGCUGAGGCGCGAAAGCGUGGGGAGCAAACAGGAUUAGAUACCCUGGUAGUCCACGCCGUAAACGAUGAGUGCUAAGUGUUAGGGGGUUUCCGCCCCUUAGUGCUGCAGCUAACGCAUUAAGCACUCCGCCUGGGGAGUACGGCCGCAAGGCUGAAACUCAAAGGAAUUGACGG